CAACCCUCGACUUCCCUUUGGGGAAAUCGGCGUUGGGGACCGGCCGUAUACCGCCGGCCCCGAAAUGAAGUGGCGGCCCGUCCGCGGCGACCUCUGCGUAGUAAUCCAACUCGCACCGGAACCCCGACGUGGCCACGCCGUAAAACCCCCGACUUCUGAACGUUGACCUCGGAUCAGGUAGGAAUACCCGCUGAACUUAA
rnacentral:misc_RNA from 1 species